rnacentral:rRNA from 1 species
AUUGAACGCUGGCGGCAGGCCUAACACAUGCAAGUCGAACGAGUGGCGGACGGGUGAGUAAUGUCUGGGAAACUGCCCGAUGUAGGGGGAUAACUACUGGAAACGGUAGCUAAUACCGCAUACUAUCUGAUGAACCCAUAUGGGAUUAGUUAGUAGGUGGGGUAAAGGCGCACCUAGGCGACGAUCUCUAGCUGGUCUGAGAGGAUGAUCAGCCACACUGGAACGGAGAAACGGCCCAGACUCCUAUGGUAGGCAGCAGUGGGGAAUAUUGCACAAGGGGCGCAAGCCUGAUGCAGACAUGCCGCGUGUAGGAAGAAGGCCUUAGGGUUGUAAAGUACUUUCAGCGGGGAGGCGUUACCCGCAGAAGAAGCACCGGCUAACUCCGUGCCAGCAGCCGCGGUAAUAC